rnacentral:rRNA from 1 species
GAUGAACGCUGGCGGCGUGCCUAAUACAUGCAAGUCGAGCGAACAGACGAGGAGCUUGCUCCUCUGACGUUAGCGGCGGACGGGUGAGUAACACGUGGAUAACCUACCUAUAAGACUGGGAUAACUUCGGGAAACCGGAGCUAAUACCGGAUAAUAUAUUGAACCGCAUGGUUCAAUAGUGAAAGACGGUUUUGCUGUCACUUAUAGAUGGAUCCGCGCCGCAUUAUCUAGUUGGUAAGGUAACGGCUUACCAAGGCAGCGAUGCGUAGCCGACCUGAGAGGGUGAUCGGCCACACUGGAGCUGAGACACGGUCCAGACUCCUACGGGAGGCAGCAGUAGGGAAUCUUCCGCAAUGGGCGAAAGCCUGACGGAGCAACGCCGCGUGAGUGAUGAAGGUCUUCGGAUCGUAAAACUCUGUUAUUAGGGAAGAACAAAUGUGUAAGUAACUAUGCACGUCUUGACGGUACCUAAUAAGAAAGCCACGGCUAACUACGU